UGAACGCUGGCGGCAGGCCUAACACAUGCAAGUCGAGCGAGAAAGCACUUCGGUGCGAGUACAGCGGCGGACGGGUGAGUAACGCGUAGGAAUCUACCCAGUAGUGGGGGACAACAUGGUGAAAACCAUGCUAAUACCGCAUACGCCCUAUGGGGGAAAGCGGGGGACCUUCGGGCCUCGCGCUAUUGGAUGAGCCUGCGUCGGAUUAGCUUGUUGGUGAGGUAAAAGCUCACCAAGGCGACGAUCCGUAGCUGGUCUGAGAGGAUGAUCAGCCACACUGGAACUGAGACACGGUCCAGACUCCUACGGGAGGCAGCAGUGGGGAAUAUUGCGCAAUGGGCGAAAGCCUGACGCAGCCAUGCCGCGUGUGUGAAGAAGGCCUUAGGGUUGUAAAGCACUUUCAAUUGGGAAGAAAAGUUGAUCGUUAAUAGCGAUCAGCCCUGACAUUACCUUUAGAAGAAGCACCGGCUAACUCC
rnacentral:rRNA from 1 species